rnacentral:lncRNA from 1 species
GUGCCUGCCUUGCCUCCUCCUCGAGCUGCAUCUGUAACCCCCACAGAGCAGGGCUGUGCCUUCUCCCAGGGUCCAACCUGGCCUAGCCUCGCCUGUCUCUGACCCUUACUUUCUCCCUUUCUCUGCUGCCCUGCAGGGUCCUUCACACCCAAGAGCCUCGGCGAUGGCAGGGCUUGCCUCUCACCGGUGUCUGCCGAAGCCUCUGCCACCACAGGAUUGCAGCUCGUGCUUCUAAGGGCACCGAAAACCUCAUCUAAGUUCAGUCUGCACUACAACGUCCCCGUCAAGUUCUCAAACUCAACGCUUCCCGGGGUCACAGAGUCCUGCCUUGGAGAGAGAGGGAUUGCUUGAGCAGAGUUCAGCAGAGAAUGGCUCAUCUCUGCUCCAUGCAGUGUAUCCAGGUGGGGUUCAUCCGGCAAGUCGACGCUGGCCGUCACCUGGGAGCUCAGCUAGGCUGUGGGCAGGCGGCCUCAGUUCCCCUCCACAUG